GACGAACGCUGGCGGCGUGCUUAACACAUGCAAGUCGAACGGAAAGGCCCUGCUUGCAGGGUACUCGAUUGGCGAACGGGUGAGUAACACGUGGGUGAUCUGCCCUCCACUUCCUGAUAAGCCUGAGACGCUGGGUCUAAUACCGGAUAGGAGCCAUUUUGAGUGUGAUGGUUGGAAAGUUUUUUCGGUAUAGGAUGAGCGCGCGGCCUAUCAGCUUGUUGGUGGGGUAAUGGCCCACCAAGGCGGCGACGGGUAGCCGGCCUGAGACGGUGGACGGCCACAUUGGGACUGAGAUACGGCCCAGACGCCGACGGGAGGCAGCAGUGGGGAAUAUUGCACAAUGGGCGCAAGCCUGAUGCAGCGACGCCGCGUGGGGGAUGACGGCCUUCGGGUUGUAAACUCCUUUCGCUAGGGACGAAGCUUUUGGUGACGGUACCUAGAUAAGAAGCGCCGGCUAACUACGUG
rnacentral:rRNA from 1 species